CUCGAACUCCUGACCUCAGGUGAUCUGCUGGCCUCGGCUUCCCUAAGUGCUGAGAUUACAGGCGUGAGCCACUGCUCCUGGCCAAAUAUGCAUGUCUAAUAAGUUCCCAGAUGUUGUUGACACCACUGGUCCAGGAAUCGCGGCAGUGAGAACCACUGAUUUAGUCCAAUCUCUGCAUCUUACAGAAAGGGAAAUGGAGACACAGAGAACAGAAGCAGCCUGUCCUAGUUACUCAAAGUGUGGGCAGAGGAAUGACUGGAUGCCCUGCCUCCAGACUCACGCUGAGUCCCACCCCGAACCACACUGCAGUGCCACCCUGCCACCUCUUGGACAGAGUGCCCCAGGAGCAGCCCCAGAAGAAAGCCUCAGGAGGCCAGCAUGUCUCUGGGCAACAGAACAAACCGCCGACUGGCCUGGGAGGGCAGGCUUCCAAGGGUCCUCGUGGCUACCCAGCCCAUCUGCUCAGCCAACUGCUUGCAUCUGGGAACUCCAGUUUAAUCAUGAAAAAAACAUCUGACAAACCCAAAUGGAGGAACACCCACAAAAUGCCUCGUCACUGCUUUUCAAAAGGGCCAAGGUCAUGAAAACCGAGAAAGAACUGAGAAACCAUCUCACAUCGGAGGAGGCACGAUGGCUAAAUGCACCCCGGUCGCCCUGGACUGGAUCCGGAAAUAGUAAAAGUGCAUUAGUGGAAAACUG
rnacentral:lncRNA from 1 species